rnacentral:rRNA from 1 species
CCUACGGGAGGCAGCAGUGGGGGAUAUUGCACAAUGGGGGAAACCCUGAUGCAGCGACGCCGCGUGGGCGAAGAAGUAUUUCGGUAUGUAAAGCUCUAUCAGUAGGGAAGAAGAAAUGACGGUACCUGAGUAAGAAGCACCGGCUAAAACCGUGCCAGCAGCCGCGGUAAUACGUAGGGUGCAAGCGUUAUCCGGAUUUACUGGGUGUAAAGGGAGCGCAGGCGGGACGGCAAGCCUGAUGUGAAAGUCCGCGGCGCAACCGCAGUACUGCAUUGGGCAAUACCGGGCUGGAGUAUCGGAGAGGUAGGCGGAAUUCCUAGUGUAGCGGUGAAAUGCGUAGAUAUUAGGAGGAACACCAGUGGCGAAGGCGGCCUACUGGACGGUGACUGACGCUGAGGCUCGAAAGCGUGGGGAGCAAACAGGAUUAGAUACCCGUGUAGUC